rnacentral:rRNA from 1 species
GAAGUGCGAAUGCUGACAUGAGUAACGAUAAAGCGGGUGAAAAGCCCGCUCGCCGCAAACCCAAGGUUUCCUGCUCUACGUUAAUCGGAGCAGGGUGAGUCGGUUCCUAAGGCCAGGCUGAGAAGCGUAGCUGAUGGAAAUCAGGUUAAUAUUCCUGAACCGGCGUUGAAUGCGAUGGGGUGACGGAGCAGCCAGAGUGGACCGGGUGUUGGAUGUCCCGGCUUCCGAGCGAUGGGUGCCUGCAGGCAAAUCCGCAGGCGUAUACCCAGGACGAAGGAUCGGGCCUUCUUUUGAAGGCGAAGCCACUGGAAGCGCUUCCAGGAAAAACCUCUAAGCUUCAGUUCAACGGCGACCGUACCGUAAACCGACACAGGUGGGUGAGCUGAAUAUGCUCAGGCGCUUGAGAGAACUCGGGAGAAGGAACUCGGCAAAUUGACACCGUAACUUCGGAAGAAGGUGUGCCUUUGUAGCUUGACGGGAGAGAAACCCGAAGGGUGAAGAGGUCUCAGAGAAUCGGUGGCUGUAACUGUUUACUAAAAACACAGCGCUCUGCAAAGAUGAAAGUCGACGUAUAGGGCGUGAUGCCUGCCCGGUGCUGGAAGAUUAAUUGAUGGGGUGCAAGCUCCUGAUCGAAGUCCCAGUAAACGGCGGCCGUAACUAUAACGGUCCUAAGGUAGCGAAAUUCCUUGUCGGGCAAGUUCCGACCUGCACGAAUGGCAUAAUAAUGGCCACACUGUCUCCUCCCGAGACUCAGUGAAAUUGAAAUGUUUGUGAUGAUGCAAUCUCCCCGCGGCUAGACGGAAAGACCCCAUGAACCUUAACUGUAGCUUUGCAUUGGACUUUGAACCGAUCUGUGUAGGAUAGGCGGGAGGCUUUGAAGAAUGGACGCCAGUUCAUUCGGAGCCGUCGUUGAAAUACCGCCCUGAUUUGUUUGAGGUUCUAACCUGGGCCAGUAAUCCUGGCUGGGGACCGUGCAUGGUGGGCAGUUUGACUGGGGCGGUCUCCUCCUAAAGGGUAACGGAGGAGUGCGAAGGUACGCUAAUCACGGUCGGAAAUCGUGAGGAUACUGCAAUGGGAAAAGCGUGCCUGACUGCGAGACAGACAAGUCGAGCAGAUGCGAAAGCAGGUCAUAGUGAUCCGGUGGCUUCUGUAUGGAAGGGCCAUCGCUCAACGGAUAAAAGGUACUCUGGGGAUAACAGGCUGAUACCGCCCAAGAGUUCAUAUCGACGGCGGUGUUUGGCACCUCGAUGUCGGCUCAUCUCAUCCUGGGGCUGUAGCCGGUCCCAAGGGUAUGGCUGUUCGCCAUUUAAAGAGGUACGUGAGCUGGGUUUAAAACGUCGUGAGACAGUUUGGUCCCUAUCUACCGCGGGCGCUGGAAGAUUGACAGGGGCUGCUCCUAGUACGAGAGGACCGGAGUGGACGCACCUCUGGUGUAUCGGUUGUGACGCCAGUCGCAUUGCCGAGUAGCUAUGUGCGGAAGAGAUAACCGCUGAAAGCAUCUAAGCGGGAAACUUGCCUGAAGAUUAGUCUUCCCGGAGGCUUGACCUCCCUGAAGGGUCGUCCGAGACCAGGACGUUGAUAGGCCAGGUGUGGAAGCGCUGUGAGGCGUGAAGCUAACUGGUACUAAUUGCCCGUGCGGCUUGAUCCU